AUUGAACGCUGGCGGCAGGCUUAACACAUGCAAGUCGAGCGGAGUGAUGGUGCUUGCACUAUCACUUAGCGGCGGACGGGUGAGUAAUGCUUAGGAAUCUNCCUAUUAGUGGGGGACAACAUUUCGAAAGGAAUGCUAAUACCGCAUACGUCCUACGGGAGAAAGCAGGGGAUCUUCGGACCUUGCGCUAAUAGAUGAGCCUAAGUCGGAUUAGCUAGUUGGUGGGGUAAAGGCCUACCAAGGCGACGAUCUGUAGCGGGUCUGAGAGGAUGAUCCGCCACACUGGGACUGAGACACGGCCCAGACUCCUACGGGAGGCAGCAGUGGGGAAUAUUGGACAAUGGGCGCAAGCCUGAUCCAGCCAUGCCGCGUGUGUGAAGAAGGCCUUAUGGUUGUAAAGCACUUUAAGCGAGGAGGAGGCUACUGAAGUUAAUACCUUCAGAUAGUGGACGUUACUCGCAGAAUAAGCACCGGCUAACUCUGUGCCAGCAGCCGCGGUAAUACAGAGGGUGCAAGCGUUAAUCGGAUUUACUGGGCGUAAAGCGCGCGUAGGCGGCUAAUUAAGUCAAAUGUGAAAUCCCCGAGCUUAACUUGGGAAUUGCAUUCGAUACUGGUUAGCUAGAGUGUGGGAGAGGAUGGUAGAAUUCCAGGUGUAGCGGUGAAAUGCGUAGAGAUCUGGAGGAAUACCGAUGGCGAAGGCAGCCAUCUGGCCUAACACUGACGCUGAGGUGCGAAAGCAUGGGGAGCAAACAGGAUUAGAUACCCUGGUAGUCCAUGCCGUAAACGAUGUCUACUAGCCGUUGGGGCCUUUGAGGCUUUAGUGGCGCAGCUAACGCGAUAAGUAGACCGCCUGGGGAGUACGGUCGCAAGACUAAAACUCAAAUGAAUUGACGGGGGCCCGCACAAGCGGUGGAGCAUGUGGUUUAAUUCGAUGCAACGCGAAGAACCUUACCUGGCCUUGACAUAGUAAGAACUUUCCAGAGAUGGAUUGGUGCCUUCGGGAACUUACAUACAGGUGCUGCAUGGCUGUCGUCAGCUCGUGUCGUGAGAUGUUGGGUUAAGUCCCGCAACGAGCGCAACCCUUUUCCUUAUUUGCCAGC
rnacentral:rRNA from 1 species